UACGUAGGUGGCAAGCGUUGUCCGGAUUUACUGGGCGUAAAGGGCGUGCAGGCGGUCUGUUAAGUGCAGGGUGAAAGCUCCCGGCUCAACUGGGAGAGGUCCUUGCAUACUGGCGGACUUGAGGGGGGUAGAGGAAAGUGGAAUUCCCGGUGUAGUGGUGAUAUGCGUAGAUAUCGGGAGGAACACCAGUGGCGAAGGCGGUUCUCUGGGCCUUACCUGACGCUGAGACGCGAAAGCGUGGGGAGCGAACCGG
rnacentral:rRNA from 1 species